rnacentral:rRNA from 1 species
GGCGGCGCGCCUAACACAUGCAAGUCGAACGGAGCUUAGAGAGCUUGCUUUUUAAGCUUAGUGGCGAACGGGUGAGUAACGCGUGAGUAACCUGCCCUAGAGUGGGGGACAACAGUUGGAAACGACUGCUAAUACCGCAUAAGCCCACGGUACCGCAUGGUACUGAGGGAAAAGGAUUUAUUCGCUUUAGGAUGGACUCGCGUCCAAUUAGCUAGUUGGUGAGGUAACGGCCCACCAAGGCGACGAUUGGUAGCCGGACUGAGAGGUUGAACGGCCACAUUGGGACUGAGACACGGCCCAGACUCCUACGGGAGGCAGCAGUGGGGGAUAUUGCACAAUGGGGGAAACCCUGAUGCAGCGACGCCGCGUGGAGGAAGAAGGUUUUCGGAUUGUAAACUCCUGUCGUUAGGGACGAUAAUGACGGUACCUAACAAGAAAGCACCGGCUAACUACGUGCCAGCAGCCGCGGUAAAACGUAGGGUGCAAGCGUUGUCCGGAAUUACUGGGUGUAAAGGGAGCGCAGGCGGGAAGACAAGUUGGAAGUGAAAACCAUGGGCUCAACCCAUGAAUUGCUUUCAAAACUGU